GAUGAACCACUUCGGUGGGGAUUAGUGGCGAACGGGUGAGUAACACGUGGGCAAUCUGCCCUGCACUCUGGGACAAGCCCUGGAAACGGGGUCUAAUACCGGAUACUGAUCCGUCUGGGCAUCCAGACGGUUCGAAAGCUCCGGCGGUGCAGGAUGAGCCCGCGGCCUAUCAGCUUGUUGGUGAGGUAGUGGCUCACCAAGGCGACGACGGGUAGCCGGCCUGAGAGGGCGACCGGCCACACUGGGACUGAGACACGGCCCAGACUCCUACGGGAGGCAGCAGUGGGGAAUAUUGCACAAUGGGCGAAAGCCUGAUGCAGCGACGCCGCGUGAGGGAUGACGGCCUUCGGGUUGUAAACCUCUUUCAGCAGGGAAGAAGCGAAAGUGACGGUACCUGCAGAAGAAGCGCCGGCUAACUACGUG
rnacentral:rRNA from 1 species